AGAGUUUGAUUCUGGCUCAGAUUGAACGCUGGCGGCGUGCCUUACACAUGCAAGUCGAACGUGAAAGUACUUUCGGGUACGAGUAAAGUGGCGCACGGGUGAGUAACGCGUGGAUAAUCUACCAAGAAGUUUGGGAUAACAGCUGGAAACGGCUGCUAAUACCGAAUACGCUGCAUAUCUAUCUUAUGUGGGAAAGAUGGCCUCUGCAUAUGCUGUUGCUUUUUGAUGAGUCCGCGUACCAUUAGCUGGUUGGUGGGGUAAAGGCCUACCAAGGCGACGAUGGUUAACUGGUCUGAGAGGAUGAUCAGUCACACUGGAACUGGAACACGGUCCAGACUCCUACGGGAGGCAGCAGUGGGGAAUAUUGCGCAAUGGGCGAAAGCCUGACGCAGCGACGCCGCGUGAGGGAUGAAGGUCUUCGGAUCGUAAACCUCUGUCAGCAGGGAAGAACGGUCACUGUGCUAAUCAGCAGUGAAUUGACGGUACCUGCAAAGGAAGCACCGGCUAACUCCGUGCCAGCAGCCGCGGUAAUACGGAGGGUGCGAGCGUUAAUCGGAAUUACUGGGCGUAAAGCGCUCGUAGGUAGUAUGGCAAGUCAAGGGUGAAAUCCCCGCGCUCAACGUGGGAACUGCCUUUGAAACUGCUACACUUGAGUGUGUGAGAGGAUAGUGGAAUUCCAGGUGUAGGAGUGAAAUCCGUAGAUAUCUGGAGGAACAUCAGUGGCGAAGGCGACUAUCUGGCACAUAACUGACACUGAGGAGCGAAAGCGUGGGUAGCAAACAGGAUUAGAUACCCUGGUAGUCCACGCUGUAAACGAUGGAUACUAGGUGUGCGGGGACUGACCCCCUGCGUGCCGCAGCUAACGCAAUAAGUAUCCCACCUGGGGAGUACGAUCGCAAGGUUGAAACUCAAAGGAAUUGACGGGGGCCCGCACAAGCGGUGGAGUAUGUGGUUUAAUUCGAUGCAACGCGAAGAACCUUACCCAGGCUUGACAUCUAGGGAACCGGAUAGAGAUAUUCGGGUGCUCUUCGGAGAACCCUAAGACAGGUGCUGCAUGGCUGUCGUCAGCUCGUGCCGUGAGGUGUUGGGUUAAGUCCCGCAACGAGCGCAACCCCUGUCCUUAGUUGCCAGCACAUGAAGGUGGGCACUCUAGGGAGACCGCUUCGGUUAACGGAGAGGAAGGUGGGGACGACGUCAAGUCAUCAUGGCCCUUACGCCUGGGGCUACACACGUACUACAAUGGUGCAUACAAAGGGUUGCGAAACCGCGAGGUCAAGCUAAUCCCAACAAAUGCAUCUCAGUUCGGAUUGGAGUCUGCAACUCGACUCCAUGAAGUCGGAAUCGCUAGUAAUUCUGGAUCAGCAUGCCAGGGUGAAUGCGUUCCCGGGCCUUGUACACACCGCCCGUCACACCACGAAAGUUGGUUUUACCCGAAGCCGACGAGCUAACUUUUCAGAGGCAGUCGUCUACGGUAGGCCCGAUGAUUGGGGUGAAGUCGUAACAAGGUAGCCGUAGGGGAACCUGCGGCUG
rnacentral:rRNA from 1 species